GACGGAGGGGGCUAGCGUUGUUCGGAAUUACUGGGCGUAAGGAGCGCGUAGGCGGUUUAGUAAGUUGGGAGUGAAAGCCCGGGGCUUAACCUCGGAAUUGCUCUCAAAACUGCUAGGCUAGAGUAUGGUAGGGGAUGGUAGAAUUCCUAGUGUAGAGGUGGAAUUCUUAGAUAUUAGGAGGAAUACCGGUGGCGAAGGCGGCCAUCUGGACCAUUACUGACGCUGAGGCGCGAAAGCGUGGGGAGCAAACAGG
rnacentral:rRNA from 1 species